AGGACUAUAGUUAAUAAUAACAUUUGAUUUGCAUUCAAAAAUUGUUGAUAUUUCAACUAAUCUUA
rnacentral:tRNA from 1 species